AUCUCAAAUCUCAGCUGAUACCUACUUGUACUCAUCACCUCCUCCUCCCAAGAAGCCCUAUUAUUAUCACUCUCCUCCACCACCUUCACCUCCUCCACCUAAGCCAUACUACUAUCAUUCACCACCACCACCUUCACCUCCUCCACCCAAGCCAUACUACUAUCACUCACCACCACCACCUUCACCUCCUCCACCUAAACCAUACUACUAUCACUCACCACCACCACCUUCACCUCCUCCACCUAAACCAUACUACUAUCACUCACCACCACCACCUUCACCUCCUCCACCUAAACCAUACUACUAUCACUCACCACCACCACCUUCACCUCCUCCACCUAAGUCAUAUUACUAUCACUCACCACCACCACCACCCAAAAAGAAGCCAUACUACUACCAUUCUCCCCCACCACCUUCACCACCUCCUCCUAAGCCAUACUACUAUCACUCUCCCCCACCGCCUUCACCUCCUCCACCUACGCCAUACUACUAUCAUUCUCCCCCACCACCCUCACCACCUCCACCUAAGCCAUACUACUACCAUUCACCACCACCCCCACCGAAGAAGAAGCCUUACUACUACCACUCUCCACCACCACCUUCACCUCCUCCUCCAAAGAAGCCAUACUACUACCACUCCCCACCUCCUCCCAAGAAGCCCUACAAAUAUUCAUCUCCCCCACCUCCAGUGCACCCUUACCCUCAUCCUCACCCCCAUCCCCAUCCACACCCCCACCCUCACCCUCCCUACGUUUACAAAUCUCCUCCCCCAC
rnacentral:lncRNA from 1 species